AUCCACCCAAGACCCGGUUCCUCGAUUCCCAUCGUUACGACCGAGGAGAAAAGAGAGUAAAUUUUCCUAUUAUAGCCUUCUCUCGCACCUUCCCCGCUUCCCACCAGCCGUCUCCACUGUCCUCACCGUCCCCAUCCUCAUCCAUGGCGAAAUCUUCGCCCCCAGCCUCGUGAAGAUCUAGCACGUCCGCCAUCUCGCCUUCGAUCGAGAUCUCGUCUGUGCCGCUCAGACACUAGGUACCUCGGGAAACUGUCGCAGAGGGGAAAGGUCGCCAGUCAAGCUGACCAAUCAAAGGUUAACUCUAAAUCCCUCCCUCUGCACGGUAAAAACACGCAAAUUGGGGCGGGCCUAGUGAGGAAAGAUACCGGAAGUGUUUCUGUGGCCAUCUUGAGCAGGUCGCAAGCUAAAUCCUGCCAUCUUAGGAGGUACAGACUACAGGGGGCCGUGGCUUCCUCUUAACCGCGGCAGCUGCUGAUAAACACUGUACUAUUAACAGUGAGGCCCGGCGUAAUUUCCUUAUUAGAGGGCUUCUUUACGUCUCUUCAUCCCAAACUGGGAAAUGCUCCUUGCCUGCCAGUCGGGCUUCAUCCAGCUCCCGCUCAGUAGAGGCCAGCUCUCUAGACAGUGCCCCCGGCACACUCUGCUCCCGGCUCACCCAGUCCAAGGCCAUUUGGUGGCGAAUAUCAUCAUCCAGGGCCCGGUGCGAAUAAUGAGCCAACACCUCCUAGUAGGGGAGGGGAAUGUGAACAUCAUUGAGAAGAUGCUGUUGACUGGGGCAAAGAAUAAUGGGAGAAAAACAGCUGGGUCCUAAAUAACAGAGGGAAACCAACUUUCAAUAAAGUA
rnacentral:antisense_RNA from 1 species